rnacentral:lncRNA from 1 species
CCAGGCUGCGUAUGCUCCAUCUAUUUAACUUCUCCAGGGAAAGAGGGAUGGUAAGAAUAAACCAUGCAGGUUUAUAGUUGCCCUAGAAAGCAGAAACCCCUGCUAAAACCCGAGAGACCUCUACAGCCUUGGGCUGAGUAGGAUUUUAGUAGGUUGAGCACCUGAGCUCUGCCCUUAGUCAAAUGGCAGACAGCAUCACAGGGAAUGAGGCCACAACCCACAAGAAAGGUGUCUAGAACAGUACUACUCUGAGGAGGCAAGCAUCACAUAAGCAUUAGCCCUGUGGCCAUUGGUUACAGCAGCCAAAGCUGUAGAUAGGAGAAGCUCCUGUGUAUUUUGCCCUUGCAGUUGCUGUCCAACCUCUGCUGAUGGGAACCUAGAGUCCUCUGGUCUACUGGAGGCAUCUAACCUCCACUCAUUCUUCAAAUGCCUUCCUUUUCCCAUCCCCCUGUCUCCUGAAGCUCUGCUGGGAAUAAAGACAGUGAUCACUGAGAGCGCCCAGUGUGCCAUUCCUAUAGUACAUCCUGGGUAGACUCCAUGUCUCUUAUUGGCCACAAGGCCAAAUGCAAACAGAAGGACAAACACAGAGGGCCAGGGGGAAUUCUCCCCCUAGAGAGCUGGCCAAUGUGAAGCCACACUCAGGCACAGCAGUGGGCAGAUGGUUCUAGGAACAGGGCAUGGGGAAGAAAGACAAACUCCUAAGUUAUUUUUAGUGAAAAUGUUUCAUCUCCACAGGAGUGGUCUUUUGGAAGCUUUCUUUGUGAACAAGACUCCACUAACAUUUCUGAAAACAAGGCUGGGAGCGUAGCCAGUGUCAGAGCAUGCGCCUAACACGUGUGAGGCUGUGGGUGGUCUCCAACACCAGAAAAAUAAAGAUCCUUUCAGCUCGUUACCAAAUGCCUGUAGCAGCAGUAGCCGGCUUCACUCUGAAGUGACUAAGCAGCAUCCCCCGGGUGAGGUACCUGCUUGUUUUCUUUUUUCAGAGCUUCUACCAAGCACGAUGUGAAAACCUGAAGAGCAGCUAGUACUUCUGGGGCUCCGUCAGUUUCCAGCAGCACAAACCUGAACAAAGCAAAGGGAGGUGACAGCACCCUGCUGCUCCACACACAAUGCAAGCCCAUUAGUUCAUCAGACUGCAGCUCCUGAGUGAAGGCAGGAGGGAGCAGCCACCCUUCCAGCCUCUCUCAUAUGGCCUUCCCAUGGGUACUUCGGUGUUCACAAACCAGACAGUGCUAGCAACAAGUGUUCUGCUUUUACCAGUGAGGACAGAGCUGCCUGGAGAGUGGAGAUUCCAACACACACAGUCAGAAUCACCAGAGUGGGGCUGUGGAAUUAGAUGUCCUUGGUUUAGUUUCCGUGCCCUUUUACACAACUAACUUUUCUUUUUGUUUAAAGAAAGAAAUCUCAAACUUGAUUAUCCCGAAACAAAAACAAUAACAUGUCUUCUUAUACCUGUGGCCAUUUAAGUUAAGAGUUGGUAUGUUUCAAGAGCAACACAAAUGGUAAGGUAUUGGUUGUAAAAAUUCCUUUCCUGUGUUGGGGCUUGAUGGCGCUUGCCUUUAAUCCCAGCAUUCAGGAGGCAGAGGCAGAGGCAGGUGGGUCUCUGAGUUUAAGGCCACAAACAAACAAACAAACACUCCUUUUCUAGGUCUGGAGAAAUGGCUCAGUGGUUAAGAGCACUUGCUGGUUUUUCAGACCACUUGAAUUCCAUUGCCAGCAUCCGUAUCAGGCAGCUCACAACCUUCCGUAACUAGCUCCUGGGUCCAACACCUCUGACCUUAGUGUAUCUAUAGGAAUCCAUAGGUGCCAACUCUCAUGACUUCGGAGCAGAGCCAACUGGUGUGUUACACACUUCUUGUUACUGGUCCUUUAAACAAAGCACAAGUUCCUAGGACCUAGUCUUUCAAAUAAAAACACCAUUCUGCU